ACGUUAUUUUCUUGUUCAAUCGCGUUAUGAGCUUUAUCGAACCACAAAAUGUAGUCGCACCCAAAAUAGAUGUUGCUCACUACCAGGAGGGAGAUCUCAUCAAAGCCACUUACCAAAAACAAACAUACGAUGCGGUGAUCAGUGAAAUCCAUCAUGACGAGGUUUCUCUUAAAGCAAGCAAAGCGACCGCCUAAGCAUGCUUUCGAGGCAACUUAAGAUAGGAAAAAAACUCAAGAGUUCAGUGAUCAAACACCAACAGAGCCUCGUGAUAAGUUGCCUGUAAAGAGGAGCAUGAUCCCAUCAGAUGCCUCCGAAGAUAUUGACCUGACGAACAAUGCUGCAAAGCUAAAUCUCAGUAAGCAAAGUGCUCAAACACCUA